UACGUAGGGGCCUAGCGUUGUCCGGAAUUAUUGGGCGUAAAGAGCUCGUAGGCGGUCUGUCGCGUCGGCUGUGAAAACCCGGGGCUCAACCCCGGGCCUGCAGUCGAUACGGGCAGACUAGAGUGUGGUAGGGGAGACUGGAAUUCCUGGUGUAGCGGUGAAAUGCGCAGAUAUCAGGAGGAACACCGGUGGCGAAGGCGGGUCUCUGGGCCAUAACUGACGCUGAGGAGCGAAAGCGUGGGGAGCGAACAGG
rnacentral:rRNA from 1 species